rnacentral:pre_miRNA from 1 species
CAAAUACUCCCUCCGUCCGGAAAUACUUGUCAUCAGAAUGAAUAAAAGGGGAUGUAUCUAGACGUAUAUUAGUUCUAGAUACAUCCCUUUUUAUCCAUUUUGAUGGCAAGUAUUUUCGGACGGAGGGAGUACUAU